rnacentral:lncRNA from 9 species
UGUAGCUUUUUUGUUUUUUGUCUUUUUUUUUGUUUUUUGCCUUUUCUAGGGCCACUCCUGUGGCAUAUGGAGGUUCCCAGGCUAGGGGUCGAAUCGGAGCUGUAGCCGCUGGCCUACGCCAGAGCUACAGCAACGCGGGAUCCGAGCCAGGUCUGCAACCUACACCACAGCUCAUGGCACACCGGAUCCUUAACCCACUGAGCAAGGCCAGGGAUCGAACUCAUGCCCUCAUGGUUCCUAGUCGGAUUCAUUAACCACUGAACCACAACGGGAACUCCAGAUUUUGUAACUUUUGCCAUGUCUUUUCUCAGCUUUUAUUUUCUUAUACUGAAAAUUUUCAAUCUUUUUCUUCUUUUCUGAUAAAGACUUCACUCCCUUCCUGCUUUGCUUUCCUCUCUAGUCUCCUCGCCUGGUUAGAUGUGACCCAUUUUGUUGGCCUUCUCUGUAUACAUUGUACUGUUGGGCUUUGGAGUAAACCUGGAAAUAAAUGCCUAAUGUCCUCUUCUGGGAUCAAGAUGAAUAAAAGAAGUGAAAGGAGACUAACAUUUUUGGAAUCAAUGACAUGCCGAGCACCAAGGUUCUACACUCACAGAUUCAACCAACCUCUGAUUAAAAAUACUUGGAGGAGUUUCCACCAUGCCACAGUGGGUUAAGGAUCCAGUUUUGCCACAGCUGCAGGAUAGAUCACUGCCAUGGCUCCAAUUCAGUCCCUGGCUUGGAAACUUCAUAUGUCAGAAGUAAGGAAAAAACAAAACAAAACACAACAAAAAACCUUGGGAAAAAAAAUUAUAGAAAGUUCCAAAAAGCAAAACUUGAAUUUGCCCCAUGGAGGCAACUGUUAACAUAGUACUUACAUAUAUUUACAACUAUUUAUAUAGCAUUUACAUUGUAUUAGUUAUUAUAAGAAAUCUAGAGAUGAGUUAAAGUAUAUGGGAGGAUGUGCAUAGGUUAAAUGCAAAUACUACACCAUUUUAUAUAUUUUGUAUCCAUGGAUUUUGGUAUCUGUCAGCAGGUCCUGGAAUGAACUACCAUGCAGAUACUAUGUUAG